GGGAAUGUGGCUUAGUGGUAUAGUGCUUGCCUAGCACGCAUGAAGUGCCCUGGGUUCAAUUCCUCAGUACCA
rnacentral:tRNA from 1 species